rnacentral:lncRNA from 1 species
AGAUGAUUCUAAAGCACAGCAAAGUUGAGACACUAAAUGCUGGGCGUGGGUACGAGCAAUGCUGCCAUCAUUUCAAUUGCGGGCUGGGCCAAAUCUUUGUGCUCAGCAAAGACCUUUUCACCAGGGGCGUGAAUAGAGAAAACCCAGUGGCUGGACUGAGGAGCAGUCAUGAGACGGAAGCCACGGCAGAUGGAAGCUGGACAUUGCUUUGAUCAGAUGCUCAAGUGACAGGGGACGAGAGCUACCACCUCCAACUUUCCACAAGCUCUUGCUUGCAGUGCCCAUGUCAGGGCUGAGAUGCUUGCUUAAGCCUGACCUUUUAGCACAGUUAAAACUUUGAAAACAAACCUAUGCUUGAAGGAGAGAGGAAAUAAGGCUGUAUAAUCCUGACUUGGCCUUACCUGCCUGCCACAGCAGGGCCUUACCCGACUGCCGCCUCCGGCAUCCAACGCAAUCUGCCUUACUCUUUGGGCUUCUUGGUGAGUGUCUCCAGGAGACCAUGGCAUUCCUUCCUGGAGGAGAGAUUCCUGAGGCCCAGAGGUAUCUGGCUCCAGUUCACUUAAGCGAACAAGGCUCUAACGUUAGGCUUUGCCGUCUCUGAGACUACAAGAUUUCUGGAUGUCUCAUUUACUUUCUAUUAAUAGACAUGGGUCGUUAUGGUUUAUGUAUACACUUAUGUGUCAGAAUUCAACCAUUCAUAGCCAUAUCAUGACUAGUGGUUUAAACUCCAACCUCAGAGCAAUAAAUCCCAUAAAAAUUCC